CCUACGGGCGGCUGCAGUGGGGAAUAUUGGACAAUGGGCGGAAGCCUGAUCCAGCAAUGCCGCGUGGGUGAAGACGGCCUGCGGGUUGUAAAGCCCUUUAGGUGGGGAAGAAGGUCUUGCUACGAAUAGUGGUGAGGAUUGACAUUACCCACGGAAUAAGCACCGGCUAACUCCGUGCCAGCAGCCGCGGUAAUACGGAGGGUGCGAGCGUUAAUCGGAAUGACUGGGCGUAAAGCGUGCGUAGGCGGUAACGACAGUCAGCCGUGAAAGCCCUG
rnacentral:rRNA from 1 species